ensembl:lncRNA
GGAAAAUGCCGUGAGACGCACAGUGCAUUCAGGAUUAGGACUGAUAUAUGUCGGCUUAAGCCUAAUCAAUUGUGUUUUAAUGUCUUUAGCAUUCAUAUAAUUGCAGUCCAUUUUUUUCGUAGGCUACUCUGCUGUUGUCCUUGAUGGGGAGAUAUUUUGACCCUUUUUAACACAAUUUUCCUGCGACAUUCCUGCGUCUCCCCCUCCUACGGAGCCCAUUUCAGCACCGUGUCAGUAGACAGUUACAAUCCUACGACGUCGUGAGUGCAGCGAAUGCGCGUUCACGUUAAGAGGAGUUUCGGGAAACGCGACAAAGAAAUGAUCGAUGGUUCGAAAGAUCCAUCGGGAGAAUGAUCUUACGAGCGAAGAUCCAUCGAUAUCGGGAAACGGGGCCCUGGUCUGACGCUAUUGAUCGUUUGCAACUGAAAUCACAGCUAAUUAAAAUUCGUAACCAAACCGGAAGUUGGCCAUCUUACCGCUACAUGUGUUUCACAUGUGUCACAUUAGAGUGGAGGUCAUUCAACCGCAAAGCGCAUAUCUAACCUCAAUUGUUUGGCUAUUAUAUUCUUUUGUUUGGCUAAUAAUGUCUACCAGUUGUGCUGUGCACGGUUGUGCGAAUAACUUCAUACGGGAGAAAGGGAAUUGCAGUUUUUUUCGGAUUCCAAAAGUGAUCACAACUCAAGGUGAGCGGACGCGGGAGUUGACCGAGGAGUGACGCCGCACUUGGAUUUCAAACAUCUACCGGGGCGACCUAGCACAAAUAAAUCUACAAAAACAGUCGUAUUUGUGGUAAUCACUUCAUAACUGGAAACCCUUCUGCGCUCUACGAUCAAACCGACCCAGACUAGGCCCCAACGCAAAACAUGGGUCAUGAUCGAAAGAAAUCUUCAAAAGAAAACUUCCCAUUCCUCCUGAAACUACAAGCACUGCAUCCAAAACCGAUCUGACUUCAGCCCAGCUAAAUGGGAAGGAGCUUCAUGUGCAGACUUUUAGAGAUGAGCUAAGAGAGUUGCGGCGACAGCUCUACAGUGUUACAGUAUCAGAACAAAGUUUAAGACAAUCAAGAGAAAAUAAAAUUAUAUACUGGUUUGCCAAAUUUUCUUAUUUUAAUGCUCAUUUUCGAUUUUAUAGCCCCAUAUAUCAAGGCAACAUCCACAAAUGCUUUGACACAAUUUGAAGAGUUCAUUAUGGUUUUGAUGCGAAUGAAACUCAACCUCCCUCUACAGGACUUUCUCAUACAGGUUUAAAGUUUCUCCAGCUACAGUCUCAAGAAUAUUUCAUCGCUGGAUUGAUAUGAGUGGGAGGCUGAAUUUCUUGAUCAAGUGGCCAGAGCGAGAAGAACUACAGAAGACUGCCAAUAGUUUUUCAACAACAUUUUGGAAAGAAAGUGGUUGCUAUUAUAGACUGUUUUGAAGUUUUUAGUGAAAGGCCUUCUAGAUUAAUAGCAAGAGCUAUGACAUGGUCUAACUACAAGCAUCACAAUACUGUAAAAACGUAAUUACCUAAAUAACGUAAUAACCUAAUUGGUGUAACACCACAAGGCGUAACCUUUUAUUUCCAGGGCAUGGGGUGGCAGGGUCAGUGACAAGUACCUUACUGAAAAUUGUGACAUUUUACAGAAGCUAUUACCAGGUGAUAUAGUAUUAGCUGACCGCAGUUUUGACAUUGUCAACAGUCGUGGAUAUUACCAAGCCCGGCUCCACAUUCCAGCAUUCACAAGAGGAAAAAAACAACAGUCUGCCUUGGAAAUUGAGCACACUAAGAAAAUUGCUAAUGUUCGUAUUCAUGUCGAAAGAGUAAUUGGACUGGUUCGACGGAAAUACAUUAUACUUCAAAGCAUUCUUCCAAUAGAAGCAGUAACAGCGAAGACAGGUGACAGACUAGCACCGAUAGAUACAAUUGUAAGAGUGUGCUGUGCACUUACAAAUCUCUGAUUCCAUUGUUCCAUUUGAUUAAAAUCCCACUGAACACUUUUUAAAUAUGAUUGUUGAUUCAACUCUUUUUGGGAAAUAACUCAAUUUGGAAAUAAACAUUCAAUGUGAUUUUCAAAAAAAUGAAAUUAUGGAAUCUGGUCACCUGUUAGGUGACCAAAAGUCAUG